UUUACAUACACUUAUAGACAGACUUGGUUUCUGGGGAGGAUUCUGAUUCAGUGCUGGGACAUGAGAGGGACACUGCAAGAGCACAGGCUGAGGUCCUUCACAGGGAGGUGAGCACUUUCUGAUUUGCAGGGAGGCAAGAUCUGAAACGGGACUUUUAUGGUCCUAGAGUUGUCAGUGGGAUGAAAAUUUUGUUUCUGGUGUGACUAAUUUCAGUUUAAGCGCUGGAAACACAGCUGUCCUUGCUGGUGUCUUCACUGCACCAAGCUCUGCUUUUCUCCAGGGCAAUGGGCUCUGUAGGGCAGAGCCUUCCCUUUUUCUUCUUCUUUCCCUUAUUUCUGUAUCAGUUUCAGGUGUAUUUGACAUCUUUGAUAGGGAAAAGAAUUCUUUAAAUAUUAAGAGGAAUUCCUGUGAAUACAUAGACAUUUGGUUCAGUAGUUACUGUAAAGAGUCCAGACAGUGUUCAGCUGCCCGAGGAUGGGCAAGAGAGGACCCAGGCACUGUUGGAAGGGUGAACCCUCUCUUUGGGGUGGCUUCCAAUGAAGAGGUGGCAGGCAACACCAUCUAUCCACUAAGAACUUGCUUUCUCUUCUGCUACUUUGGGCCUCAACUAAAGAUGGAAUAAUGGGUAAAUCUGCCUUCUUAAAGGGCUGUAGAAGAUUUCAGAGUAGGGGAAUCUGCAUUUUCUUCUCUGAACUUGGGUGAUCCUUGAUGAUCCCUCUGCAUCCUCUCCCUCCUGGCUGUGGCAGGCAUUGGGUCCCUUUCUCAGGUGGUUUCCUUCCCUCCCACCCACUGCUGUAAGAAGGGUGCCUGCACACAGCAUAGCCAUGGGAGCCUGCUCUGCAGCGCACUGGAUUGCUGUCCUCUGCCACCAAAGUACCUGAGUGAAGGAGCUCUUCUGGGAGCUUGGAGCUGAUACUGCCUAGGAAGAGGUGGUAGGGAGCAGCCACCAUCUCACUGCCCAGUUACACUGUUGUCACUCAACGACCGCUGUGAUAUCUCUUCUCACUGCAGCCUGCUAUGAACAUGGUUAGGAGGGAAAAACAGUGUGUUACUGCAUGACUUGGAAUAUUACCAUCCAAUUGUCCUGGUUGUGUGAGGAAGGUUUUAACCCCAAAACCACCCCCCAGACCAGAUAGUACCCUUUCUGCAGAGAUUAAGUGGAUAUGAGCAAGCAGGCA